rnacentral:rRNA from 1 species
GUGGGGAAUUUUGGACAAUGGGCGCAAGCCUGAUCCAGCAAUGCCGCGUGCAGGAAGAAGGCCUUCGGGUUGUAAACUGCUUUUGUACGGAACGAAACGGUCUGGGUUAAUACCCUGGACUAAUGACGGUACCGUAAGAAUAAGCACCGGCUAACUACGUGCCAGCAGCCGCGGUAAUACGUAGGGUGCAAGCGUUAAUCGGAAUUACUGGGCGUAAAGCGUGCGCAGGCGGUUUUGUAAGACAGGCGUGAAAUCCCCGGGCUCAACCUGGGAAUUGCGCUUGUGACUGCGAGGCUGGAGUGCGGCAGAGGGGGAUGGAAUUCCGCGUGUAGCAGUGAAAUGCGUAGAUAUGCGGAGGAACACCGAUGGCGAAGGCAAUCCCCUGGGCCUGCACUGACGCUCAUGCACGAAAGCGUGGGGAGCAAACAGGAUUAGAAACCCCGGUAGUCC